UCCUUCUCGGUCUCUCUUUCUUUGUAAAACUAUUCUUAUUCUUAUAUCAUUCCAACAAAAUAAUCUUUAUCAAUCAGAAUGAGAAAUUGGUUUCAAAAAAUGUAAAAAUUUUAAGAAAAAUGUUUUUGAAGAUCAUCCAUUCUUCAUCUUUCUAGCUGCAAAGUUUCCUCAAAAUAGUCUACGAACAUAUAUUUAUUCCCAAGGAGAUUUCUGCAGCGUUUCCUUUCUAAGCAUAUAUUUUUCUAAAGUUCUUUGUUCUUUGGGUUUUACAUAUGGAAACUCCAAUGUUAUUUUUGGCUAUUUUUUUUUUUUUUGGGAUUUACAUAUUACAAAUCCCAAGGUUGAUUAAGGUUGGCUUAUUCGAUUGCAAUUGUUUUUGGAGUUUUACAUAUUACAACUCCCAAGAUUAUUGAAGAUUGGCACUUUUUUCUUUUUUUGAAGACAUGGUUAAAAGUUAUUGUAGCAUUUAUAUUUCAAUUUUUUUUGUUUGUAAUGCUAACAUUUAAUGGUUGUAACGUUUAUUUGAAGAGGAAGUAAUUAAGAGGGCUAUAGGGGGGUACAAACACCACAGCCGCUAGAUGUCUUUUGCUAGGAUGAGACCGGGGUGGUCGGAUCACAUGUUUGUCUCUCAAAAUGUUAUCUGACCGUCCAAGGCUCAAAAACUUAUGCUGUUUUGUAUUAUAGAUUAUCAAUUCAUUAGUGUUAAUAAUUGAUUAACUAAAUGAGAAAGUUAUUUUGAUAUCAAAAUUUAAAUAUA